UUACAUGAAUACAAUAUUGACUUUGAAUGAACAUCGCUCUUAUUUAAAAAUCCAAUGCAUCCAUUUUUUUUUACUCCAUGUGAAAUCAUUUCUGGGUAAAAAUGCAGUACCUUGCUGUGAUUGUUUUCAAUUAAAAUGGUCAACGAUAAACAAGCAACAUCUCAAGCAAGAAUUUUGCUAGGACUGUCUGGGAGUUGUCUGAGUAAAGAGGGGAAAACUGAAAAUGAGCUGUUAUUGGCAGAGCGGUUUGGAACUCUCUUUCUUAUUGGUCUGUUAACUACUUUACCGCCUGGUGAUGUCACCAGACAGGCCAAAACUCCAUCCCACCAAAACAGGCUGAAAUUUCAAAAUUCUAACAGCACUUACACUAAAAGGGUAUUAUCGGGGUAGCCUAGUGGUUAGAGCGUUGGACUAGUAAGCGAAAGGUUGAAGUUCGAAUCCCCGAGCUGACAAGGUACAAAUCUGUCAUUCUGCCCCUGAACAGGCAGUUAACCCACUGUUCCUAGGCCGUCAUUGAAAAUAAGAAUUUGUUCUUAACUGACUUGCCUAGUAAAAUAAAGACGAGAGUUCGGAGGGGAGAACCUCUACAUCAGGAGAACCUAAAGAAACCUAGGGGAAUCUCAAAGCUCAGAGAUACAGUUGCUCUGUGUGUGGGACAGACCGGCAACGGUUAUUUGAUCUGAAAAAGACAAAAUGACAGUGCACACAGGAGAGAAAUCGCACAGCUGUCCUGUGUGUGGGAAUAGUUUUAGACGAGCAGACUUCGUGAAACAACACCUGUGGACACACAAAGGAGACACAUGGGGAGAAACCUUACCCGUGUUCUGUCUGUGGGGAGACUUUAAGCAAGAUCGCCAGACCUUUAAAAUGCACAAUAGAGUUCAUACAGGAGAGAAACCUUACAGCUGUGCUGAAUGUGGCCAGAGCUUUUUGCCAUAGUUUCUACAUCUGCGUUGUUAUAUUGCUUAUAUAGGUCUAUCUCAUUAGUAGCUUAUUAAUAAUUUUAGGUAAUGUAAGAAUGAUGCAUUUAAUUGUUUUUCUUUACUUUGUGUGUUAUACUUAUCUCUUGUGAUUUUCUCCAUGAGGGUGGUGAGAGAGAGACCCAACAACUUAUUAUAUUAUAGUAUCCCUUCCUCGUAACCAUGUUUGCCAGUGACAGUCUCUUCCCAUUAAAAUAUUUUUGUUUGCCAAAAAGUUCCGUUGGUAGACCCAUGUAAUUCCAGCUCGUAUUGCGAGGGUUGUUUUCCCAAUGCUUUUUCAGUGCGUCUGUCUAUAAAAGUGAAUCCUCGUGAUUGUAUCGUCCUGUUCUCUUUUCGUAACCCAUAGUAAAGAUGAUUCAUUCUGUU